UUUGUAUACUUAUCAGUUGAAUGUUCGCACUUGGAACGUAAAUAUGCAGUACUCUAAUGGUCAUACCAUUGCUCCGAAUUCCUUGGAAUAUGAUGAAGUUUUAGAGAAAAUAGGUUACGGUAAGACCCAGUGGGUACUACUUCUAAUGAGUGGCCUUUUAACAAUUACUUCUGUGGCUGCUCAACAAUCAAUGAGUAUUAUUGUUCUCGCAUCCCACUGCGAGUUCAAAACAACAGAAGCCGAAAAGGGCGUCAUGAUGGCGGCAUGUGUAGCUGGGGUUUUUCUCUCAACCUAUAUAUGGGGAUAUGUCAGCGACGCUAUUGGACGACGUACAGUUUUACUAACCGGAAUUUUUAUAAGUUGUGGCCUUUUAUUUAUUCUAAUGUUUGUAACAAGCGUUUGGCUAUUUAACAUUAUUAAUUUGCUUUCUGGUAUCAGAUUUCAUUUAAUUUGCUUGACAUACAAUGUAUGUAUAUAGGUUUCAAAAAGCGCAAUGGGUGCAAAGGAGAAAAUCGGAGAGGAUAUAAAGGAGAAGCUCCAUAUUGGAAUGUAUACCCUUACUGAGAAGAAAGGCCGAUGCGAAGUGUGGCAAUUUUUCUCAGAAAUAAAAAAACGAAAAUGGAGAGGAAUUGGCUGAACUUGUUGCCUGUAAGAUGUGUUUUUCUGUUUUUAAGUUUACAGGAAGCACAUGUAACCUGGUCAAGCAUAAAUGUUAUUUAGUAAAUGGCAGUAAAUUUUGCAAAGCUUCACCUAUUGAUGUAAAUUCAGCAAGGAAACAGGAGGGAGUAGCUGUUGUUACCGGAUGGGUUGUUCAGAACUGUCGUCCAUUAAAAAUUAUAGACGACUCCGACCUUAAGAAGUUUGCAUCAUUUUUAAUUAAGGUUGGAGCAACGUUUGGUUCUAAUGUAGACGUUAAUAAAUUGUUACCACAUCCAACAACAAUAUCUCGAAAUAUAACAAUGAUUUAUGAGUCACACUUUUGCCCAAUAAAAAUCGAAAUAGAAAAAUAUAAAGCCUUUGGAUAUGCCAUCACCAGUGACAUAUGGACUGAUAAUUGUUUGAAAUCAUCGUAUUUGUCCUGUCCUGCACUACAUAAAGAAGGGAGUUCUUCUUAAGCGUUUAAUGGCCAUGAAGACAAUGAAAGAAAUGUCGUGCACAGGUUCAAAUAUUCGUGCAAAAAUAGAGGAGAUAUUGAAAGGCUUCGGAUGUGACCUUGAAGUGGAUAAUCCCAUAAUUGUAACCGAUCGUGGGUCUAAUAUGAUUAAAGCCUUCUCGAUUCCGAGAAAAUUUAUUGCGUCAACCAUCCACUGAACAAUGGUCUUGAAAAAGCUAUCGAUGCUGUUCCUGAGAUGGGGAUUAUCAUCACGACUUGAAGCAAGCUGACAAAAUAUUUUAAAAAGUCUGGAAUGAAUUCAUCUUUAGGAUUCUCCAUAAAAAGCUUUUACCCCA